rnacentral:rRNA from 1 species
AAAUGAAUUGACGGGGGCCCGCACAAGCGGCGGAGCAUGCGGAUUAAUUCGAUGCAACGCGAAGAACCUUACCAAGGCUUGACAUAUACGGUCUAUCCCUAGAGAUAGGGAGUGCUUCGGCGCCGUAUACAGGUGGUGCAUGGUUGUCGUCAGCUCGUGUCGUGAGAUGUUGGGUUAAGUCCCGCAACGAGCGCAACCCUCGUCCUAUGUUGCCAGCGGGUAAUGCCGGGGACUCAUAGGAGACUGCCGGGGUCAACUCGGAGGAAGGUGGGGAUGACGUCAAAUCAUCAUGCCCCUUAUGUCUUGGGCUUCACGCAUGCUACAAUGGCCGGUACAGAGGGCUGCGAUACCGUAAGGUGGAGCGAAUCCCAAAAAGCCGGUCUCAGUUCGGAUUGAGGUCUGCAACUCGACCUCAUGAAGUCGGAGUCGCUAGUAAUCGCAGAUCAGCAACGCUGCGGUGAAUACGUUCCCGGGCCUUGUACACACCGCCCGU